UCUUCGCCGCCCAAGGAGAAUCCACCAGACGGACCAAGGCGGACGAAGAACCCCCUUGCCGUAGAGCUGGUCGACGGCGGCGAGGCUUGUCCUUCUCCGUCAGUCUGGCAGGGUAACAACCCAAGUAGGGCAAGAGGUUUUUCAUUCAAGGGUGGAUUAGUCGUAGAGGGCGAAGAUGUCUGACUUAUUUAGCGGGAUCCAAGCAGCUAUGGUUAUCAAUCGAGUAGAGAAUAGUGAGCAGUCACCUAAAGAUUGGAACAGCGACUGUGAUGGAUCUGGUGGUUCAUCAGGUUUGACUGGCACCCCGUGCUUCACGUCCAGGCUUUCUUUGCUAAAAGUUGGAUCGGUCAUAGGCCAGUAGUGAUUUUAAGCGGCAGUUAGUCAGGGAAACCGGUUUCGAUGGAAUGUUAGAGCUUAAAUCAUGGCAGAAGAUCAGCCUUAAGUACAUCGCGUACCUAAUGGACAGAGUUGAUGUAGAUUCCAGCAUAAUAUAUCUAGAGAGCCAAGGUGUUCUUGAAUUAUGUGACCAGCACCUGAA